GAUGAACGCUGGCGGCGUGCCUAAUACAUGCAAGUAGAACGCUGAAGCUUGGUGCUUGCACCGAGCGGAUGAGUUGCGAACGGGUGAGUAACGCGUAGGUAACCUGCCUCUUAGCGGGGGAUAACUAUUGGAAACGAUAGCUAAUACCGCAUAAAAGUCGAUAUCGCAUGAUAUUGAUUUGAAAGGUGCAAAUGCAUCACUAAGAGAUGGACCUGCGUUGUAUUAGCUAGUUGGUGAGGUAACGGCUCACCAAGGCGACGAUACAUAGCCGACCUGAGAGGGUGAUCGGCCACACUGGGACUGAGACACGGCCCAGACUCCUACGGGAGGCAGCAGUAGGGAAUCUUCGGCAAUGGGGGCAACCCUGACCGAGCAACGCCGCGUGAGUGAAGAAGGUUUUCGGAUCGUAAAGCUCGGUUGUAAGAGAAGAACGAGUGUGAGAGUGGAAAGUUCACACUGUGACGGUAACUUACCAGAAAGGGACGGCUAACUACGUG
rnacentral:rRNA from 1 species